rnacentral:lncRNA from 1 species
CUCUACCUUGGGAGCGAAAAACCUGAGGACCUUGUGCAAUGUGGAUGCAACUUCCUUCAUCUUAUGUAACAAAUCUCGAUCGACGAUUGCAGUUAUACAGGGAGAGGAUAUUAAUAACAAUGAACUCUGUCACUAACUCUUGGAAACCAUCUUGGAUUUUGAGGGUUACAGUUCUCAAUGGCCAAUGGGACUAAGUGUUGAACCCGACUAACAAAGCUCGGGCCGGCUUUAGAGCAACCUCAAACAGUUUUAAUUAUUUAAAAAGUUCAUAAUACAUCACUUCAACUAAAAUGCUGGAGUUCACCAAGAUUCGUUUGACAUCGUAGCCAUGGAUCUGCAAUUGGAUGACCAAAGGAUCGUUGUGGGGGUACUGAACCCGCUCAAAAUCUGCUUUGGUAAAAGUGAUGCUUCUUGGCUCGGACAUGCCUUAUCUUGGCUUCCUCAUCGCUGGCUGGACUGAGCGAACAUUUUGACCCGAGACAUGAGAUUCUAGAGGUCAACUAGAGAGUUGAGCGUCAGGUCCUCCCAAGCUUCUCGCUGAGGUCAGCCCAAGCUUGUAGCUGACCAUGGCUAGCUUUUCUGAACACCCUCCUAUCUCUUUGUACAGCUCCUAAUAACAUUUUCUAUAGUUGUGAAGCAUUUCAUUCUUGCCUUUUCUAAGUGUCAGUAGAGAGUUGACCACCUUUGGUGCCUUUGUGUUGAUAACAAACCAAGCUAAGUAUGACUCGGUAAGUUGGUAAAAGCUCCCAAUGGAUCUAUCGGGAAGCUUAUCAAACCAUUUCAACCCGAGAUCCCCCAAGCUUGAUGAAAAUAUCCCGCACAUGAGUGCAUCGAGAUGAUUUCAAAGUGCCAUCAUUUGUUUGAAAUGGAUGAUGUGAGACCUAGAGUUUGAAUUCUCGUCGUAUAGAGUGAACUUCAGAGGAUUGAACUUCUUAGGAGGGUUCAUUCUCUCAAUCUAGGGCGUUAAUGGGGUUUGGUACCUCGGGAUUUGUUCUCUUGGCACGGACCUGACAAUCUCAAGUGUUAUUGCCUUGGUGAGCAGCUUCGCCCCGUAAAUCCUCAUACUGGCUACGUUUAGCAUUGAGGGUCUCAUGUAGGUCCACACCGGAGUGGGUUCGACUUAGUGAUACCCCACGCUUACCCGAUGCACAGUUGUGUUAUUACUUCAGCUCUAGGCCUUAAUGUUGGAUUUCACAUGUUUUUCCUUCUUGCUACCCCGAGGUGGGUCCUCUCAGCUCUUGACCUCACCUUAGGCGACCCAUCACCAGCCCUUGUGGCCGGUUUUAUCAGUCUGUUGGCCACCAUAAUUUGUGUCAGCUCUUCUAACUGAGUUUCUAAAUGCUUGAUGGUGACGUCCAAACUGUUUUCACCUUGUGGCCGGUUUUAUAGUACACACAAUGUCUAUUAUAAAAAUUUUACGAUCGAUUGUGAUAAAUAUUAUGGUUAAUUAUUGUGUAUAUUAUGAUCAUUAUGGUGAAUAUAUCGAGGGAUGUAUGUCACAAAUAGUGAAAAAUUGUGUGUUAUACAUUAUUGUAGUAAAUGUUACGACUAUUUGUGGUAAAAAAAAUUCUAUUACAAUUGGUUGUGGUCAAUGUUAUACCUAUUUGUGGUAAUGUUAUACCAAGUGCACUAUAUACAUUAUUUUUUGAGGCGUGUACGUUAACCGCUCCUGUAACCAAAUCACUUCACUUUGUGAACCCGUAAGGACCCGUUUGGCUGGAGGAUAGCCGAGGGGAUAACUUUUUUCCCUGGAUAACUCCCUUUAGCGUUUGGAUGGUUUAAAACGUUCCGGAUAACUUUUUCCAUAGCGGGCGGAUAGAAGCGAAUAAUUUUUGGAUGACCCUCACCCUAACCAAAAGCUAUCCGAGAGGAUAGAGACGGAUAUCUAUGUAUCUAUAUCUAUCUAUAUCUAUAUGUAUAUAUAUAUUUUUCAUAUCUAGAUAUUUUACAUUUUUCUUCCUUAUCCCCCACCCUUAUCCCAUUCUAAAAAGUAUCCAAACAAACUUAAAAGUUAUCCUCCUUCAAAAGUUAUUCCCCUUUAAAACUUAUCCGGCAGCCAAAUGACCCUAACACUUUUACAAUUUAUAUUUCGUGUUAUAUUUGAAAUGCUUACGUAUAUGGUUUGCUACUGUUGUGACUUCAAAGGAUCCUUCUCGUCAUUUUUUUAGGUUAAUUGCAUUCACCUACACCCCCUGAGGUUGGUGUAUUGUACCUUAGACCCGGCACCUUUCAAAAUGGCAGAUAGACCCCCUGCGUUAGUGACAUCAUCAUUUCCGUUAGUUGACUAGGUUGACCGAAGGAAAUGUCAUAAAUCCCUGAAAUUCUCUCUCGUCCUCUCUCUCUCUCGGUUUUUAUUUUAUUUUUUUCUGUUUUGGUAUUUUUUAAGUUUUGUUUCUUUUUUUUAAUUAGUUUUUUAAAUAAUUUUUGUUUUAUCAAAUAUCUUUUACAAUUGUUUUAAUUUUGUCUAAUUUAGCAAAAAUUAGGUUAAAAUUAACUAAAAAAAAUUGAUGUGGGUUCGGGUCAAUGUUUUUUUUUUUUUCUUUUCAAGUUUAGAGUAAUGGGUAAGGAAGUGAUUUGGGGUUUGAAAAUGGGUAUGAGGCCCCCCCCCCCUAAAAGUCCCCCCCACCCCCCCCCCCCCCCCCCCCCCCCCCCCCUGACAGCAAUGGUUUUUGGCAAAAAAAAGUUAUAUUUUUGGCUUGUUCAUUAAUUAUAAUUUUUUUAAGUGGCCCACUGAUUUGUAACUCGGUUAGUUGAGUUUCAAUUAGCCUACAUGUUUAAGCUCAAGCAAAAACUUCACUUUAUAUCCCAAUAAUCAUAAAAUUAGUAAUUUUUUAUCUAACAUAUUAGAAAUUAUAAUUUUAGUUAGUCAAACAAGCCUUAAAAUGUGAAAUAAAAUAAAAUUUUUAUUAUUAUGUAAUACUUAUCCAUGUAGCUUUUAAAUUAUUAUUCAAAAAAUAGAGUUUUUUUUAUAAAAAAUAACAAGAUAGUCCCUUUAAUUUAGUGUAGGUGCUAUAGAUUAGUGUAACACUGCUUGAACCUGAUCACAACAUUAAUUACCACCUACACUAAAAGUAAAAUGCUAUCCUAUUUUCUAUUUCUUUGUAUUUUAGUUUUAUUUGUUUAUCAGCAACAAAUACUGUUUUUCAAUAUUUAUUUAACGCAAGAGUGCCACUUGGGAAAUUCGUAUGCCUUCAAAAUACAAAAUUUUUAUAAAAAAUAUCAAACCUGUAAUAAAAAAAAUAAUUAAAAAAACUAAAAAAAGCCAAAACUGGAAAAAAAAAAAAAAUAAAAACGAGAGAGAGAGAGAUACUUUUCAAGGGUAUUUUAUGACAUUCUCUUCAGUCAAAAUGGUGUCCAACUACAAAAAUGCUGAUGUCACUAAACGCAGAGGUCUAUUGCCGUACAUAAAUACUACCCAAAACAAAUCUCAGGGGUUCUACCUGCCUAUUUUUGAAGGUAUCGGGUCUAAGUGUCCAUUACACCAAACCUCAGGGGGUGUAGGUGAAGUUUUCCCUUUUUAUUGGUGAUAUGACUUUGUGUGUUUGAAAAAACAUAAUAUUCUUUACCGCGUAAAACACUUGACAUCCGUUUGCGUGGGACAUUCCGUGUGCCUUUGACAUAGGGAAGUAUUGAACUUGUGUUUUUUGAAAAAACAUAAUCUUCUUACACCACCAAGCGUAAAACACUUUGACAUUGUUUGCGGUGGGACAUUCGGUGUGCCUUUGACAUUUCAAAGGGUACUAUGGAUUGGAAAUGAUGUUAACCGAGGGGCCAAAGUGUCAAUUUUCCAAACAUUUAUCAUUCUUUCAACCAAAGUGGCAUUGUUUAUCCAAGCUGCAGCUUUCACUUUUUCCAAACGCGAUAAUGGCGUGUAGUACAUAUUUGCGAACAAUUUUGGAGAAAGUGAAAAACAAAUCUGGAUUUUGAUCUCAGUAACAAAUUAAACUCUAUAGUUUUAAUUAUAACAAAUUAAACCUUACAAUUUUAAUCUAGUUGACAAUUAAAAAUCUCUAUUAGUUUCUAUUUCAGUAAAGUUUACGGAAUCAAUUAAUUCAUACCAAAUAAAUUGAGGAAAUGAUGUUUUCCAAUGUUAUCUCCAUGCAAUUAGGGCUCAUUUUUAAACAAAACUUCGAAAAAGUAGUUUGAAUCUUUAAUUUUAAAAAAAUUAUAAUUUUAUUGAUUUUAAGUUGAAUAUGUAAGCCUUAAUUGCAUCGAUUAAGACUUUUAAAGACUGAUAAUUUGAAGGAUGUUAUUUUUUUAAAUUUUUUUUAAAAUUAGUUGGUUAUAUCAUCUCAAAUGAAACAAAGAUUAUCAAUGAUUUUAAUUGUGAUCAAAUUCAAAAUUUUUAGAUUUUUAAAUUGUUUACAAUUAAAAUUAUAAUGAUUUUAAUCCUUUCCGCAGUCAACCCCAAGCUUCUUUCUGUAAUUUUUUCCAACAAUUGAAUGCGUGUGGAGCCUGUGGAGUACCUACCUAUAAUCAAGCUCUACGAAGAAAUUUCUUUCUCAAAUCAUUCAUCCCUGGUCAGUGUUCACCUUUCACGCGUCCUUACCUAAUAAUCUAUAGAUUUAACUAAAAACACUGAUCCAUGAAGAAAAGAGAAAAAUACGAAACGAUCCGAAGAUACAACGAGGGAAAACCCUUUAGCAAAUUUAAUUUCUAGCCGCAUGUAUAUCAAUACUUCAGAGAAAUUCUUUUUCUUACAACCGUGCGGAAUGGUUCAUUCAAAUGACCCUUAAUUAAAUAUUAGCCACGAUUAAAAUUGUUUGUACACACUUUGAGUACGUCAGUGGGGGGGUUUAUUCGGAGAAUCUCAUAUAUUGCAAGAUAGGGCCUCGAAUAUCUCGAAAAAUGUAAACAAAAUCCGGGAGAAAUUUCACUGCUUGGAAAAUUUGAAAAUGGGAAAAAAUUGCUAAAUUUUCUACAAUUGGUUUAUUCUCGACUUGUUCAUGUCCCAAUCUACCUUCUACAAUGGUUUAAGUCUUAGUGAUUUUAUCGGGGUAAUCAAUAUGAGUGGAAGAAGGGACUCAUUUCGAUAUCCAAAAGGUGGGAAUAUCAACUACAUGGAAUUUUAACAUGAAAGAAAUGCAACACUUUGGCCUUGUUCCUCUUUCUUUCAUAUUCACACAAUUCGAUUAAAAAGCUUAUUUGCGCAUUGCUGCAACCAAAGCACAUUGCUCACUAUCAUUUCUCUUCCCUCCAUUCUAUAGAAAAAUGUGAACAGUGAUUGAAUACAUUUGUCCUCAAAUUACUUUUUUCUCACAAAUAUAUACGUACGAAAUGAGUUGAGGAAACAUUUCUCAACAAAGGUCGUCAAAAAAAGUUCUUUUGUGACAAAAUAUUUAUUUCCGUCACCUAUGUAAUUGUUUUUUGACGAAUUUUAUUUUGUCCACCGAUAAUGAAUGAUUUAUUGAAAAAAUAUUUCAUUUGACCUAUUUUAUUGUCACACAAUUAUUCGUUUUUGUUACAAAUAAUUCUGAAAGUUAUAUAAUAUCACAACAUAUGUGAAAAAAAAUUUCGCCACCUAUUGUAACUAUUUUUAAUGACAAACUUUAUUUCAGUCACCAUAGUGAUUGUUUCAUAUGAAAUAUUCGUCACUAUUUUAUUAUUUUUUUAUGCCAUCAAGUUAUCCUUUCAUCACAAAUAGUUGCUAAAAAUAAUCAUGUAAACAAUAUUAGGUGAGAACACAACUUUCGUCACCCUAAAAUUUUAAAUUUUAAAUUUGUAAAAAGUAGUGAAGUUGAGAAUUUUUUUGUCCACCUAUAAUUUUAAAUUAAUCCAAUCGGUGACGAAGAAGAUUGCCACAAAAAAUUUUUUAGAAAAAUAUUUUUGAUGAUGGAAAAUUUUGUCACCUAAAUAUAUUAUGAGAAGUAUACAAUUGGCCAACAAAAUCUUUUCCUAAUACUGCCAUUGAAAAUAAAUGCCAUUCAUUUUAAGAAUCUGCAAUCGCAAUUAAAAAUAUCACAACUGAAUUUUGAUCAUAAUAUUACACAGUUAUAAAUCCAAUAUAACUCGUAUACCACAUUACCAAACAAGCAAACAAAUCACUAAUAUUUCCACCAUAUCAUCUUUCUUAUCCUAUGCAUCAUCACAAAGAAAGAGUAGUUGUAGCAUUACUGAAAUAAAAAAGAACGAAGAUUUGAAGCUUGAUCCAAAAAGAAAUAAGUAUCCAAAAAAGAAGUUUUCGUAGAAUAACAUUCAUGUCAUCAUCCAACUCCCAACCUUCUGCAUAUACAAUCUGCAAACAUAAAAAAUUCAAAGUCACUCCCUCAACAAAUAUUGGCUAAAUAAUAGGUAGUCUUCUACACUUUUAUACAAAAAAUCAUGAUAUUUUAUAUAUGUAAAUAUGAACAGUAUAAAGUGCUAAUCAGCAAGUCUUUAACUGGUGUAAAUAUGAAAAGCAUAAACUGCUCAACGUUUCAUAUAUUGCAGAAUUUGAGGUAGGACUAUCUAUAGGUACAAUAAUUGACACUUUGAUUUUGUUGCCAUUCUGUCUCAGGCAAGCAAUUUAACACGUUAAAGAUCAGUAUCUGCCCUGUUCAAUAUUCCAAACUUACUCAGAAUAAACUUGGAGUUAAGUUAGAGUAUUUAGGAAAUCACCCCUAUCGUGAAACAAUUCAACUGCAGGGUUUGUUUAGUGAGAAAGUGAAUCUAUUGUGAGUAUGACCAUACAUGGUUUUAUUGGGUGCAUCAUACCCAUUUUUGCUUUGUGUCCACUUCAAUAGAUCCUACAUAUAGGUUUGAAAAUUCUAGAAUAAUGUUUCAAAUCGUAGAAAUGUUAAACAGUUUCGUAUUCCUGUCUUGCAAGUGAUCCGUUAGGUCCAAGGGUUCACCGUUUCUGCCUUUUUCCUUUUCCUCAUUAUGGAUUUGCAGGGAGGGACAGAAAAAAUGUCUGCUAGUGAUCCAAAUUCUGCAAUUUAUGUGACUGAUUCUGGACAGGAAAAGCAGUGUAUUCUUACCUGUUUCAUUAGCAAAACUAUAUGUUUCCGAUUUAAAAAAAAAAAAAAAAAAGCCAUGCAACAAGGAAGCCUGCUACUGGCAAAUCAAAAAUAAAAGAUGCUGGAGAUUGGAAAAUUGCUUAUAAUUUUUCUAGUAAAGGCCUCACCUGUUUUAACAGAAAACUGCUGAUAUCAUCUUCAUCUAAUCAUGUCCAUCAUAUGUCUAAUAUAUUUCAUCUAAUUAUCUCCCAGAAUGCAUUGAAUUAUCUGUGAAGCCGGAGACUUACAAGGUCAACUGGGGUUCCUAGUUUCUUUCCAUAUCAACUGAUAUUUCAAUAGUCACCCUAUCAAGAUAUUAUCUUUGAAAAAAAUAGUUUAGUGGUAAGAUUAGAACUUUAUAUCAAUUUAGCGGUCUGACAUAUAAUAAUAUCGCUGGAGGUUGUGAUUCAGGAAAAUCAUGGGGAGAGGCAUCGAAGAGGGAGGAAAGAGAGUCUUUUUUCUUUCUUUCUUUUUCUCACUUUUCCGAAUUUCCCCACACCUUUAGCACAUUUACCAGAUUUACGUAUACUUAUUAUUCUCUUAACUGUUAUUUUUCAUUUUGCACACGAGUGUGUUUAACCUGUUUUCGCAGUCCAUAGAGCAUAAAGGAGGGGUCGAAUGAGGCAAGGAAUUGAAGCGGGAGUGAUUGGCAGUUGGUUUGCGCUAAAGUUUAUGGAAUUUUUCCAAGUCUACUAGUUGGAACAUUUUCGGUCUAUCUACCGAUAGAAUGGAUAGGCAUAAGCAAUUAUCGACAAUGAUGAACCAGUCGAAGACCAACCCUCCAAUCGGUAGAAUAGGAGCAAAAGCAUCAGAUGGAUUGUACAACGCGAUUGAACCUUUAGUUUUCUACGCAUUGAAUGCAUCAUAACUUCAAAUCUAAAAUUCUCAACCGUUGAAGACUAAUCAUCACCUUUUGAACUGGAAAACAAAGGAGGAACAUUAGAACCCUUUUGAACCGGUUGAACUUUCUUCUUAACCGAUCGAGAUUGAAGAAAGCAAAGGAUGAAGAUAGGAGGUUGAAGAAGGCUGCGAACCCUCAAAGUCAACAUAGAAGACUGCUUUUCAAGGGUAUUUUGGUUAUUUCACUCCCUCAUCUUCCAAGUAUGGAGGGAAUCCCAUUAUAUGAAAGGCUUAAAACCCAAGUUUAAGAAUUUUUUUGGGAGAAUUCUUAGUCUUGAGAAUUAUUUCUCUUUCUACUACUUUACUUUUUCAAUUGCUUAAUUCAAAAAUAUAUUUUAUAGUCAUAGCUUGAAGAGAGUUGGAAAGGAAGAAGAAGAUCACUUGUUUUUGAGUUAAAACUUGUAAUUCUUGUUCUAAUUUUACUACAAUUCAAAUGGUUAUAAGUUUACUUAGAUUUUGAUUAUUCUAUUGAACUAUCAUUCAUCUUUCAUUCUUGAUGUUAAUUACUUUAUUUUAAUGGUUAGUGAUUCAUGUGUGUUUGAGUUUUUCUCACCCAUAUCUUGGUCCAAGAAAUAUGUUUUCUUCCAAACCUUAACAUGAAUUGAUUUCUUCUCUCCUUUUAAAUGGUUUCAAUGCUUAUUUUAAGUUGAUUAAUGGUGUUCUUAAGAUUAAAAUUUAGAGUUGUAUACAUUUUUAAUUAUUUGUCAAUAAGUACACUUGGUAUACGUAAUACUUGAAUAUGUACUCUAGGUGUUUGAACAUUGUACAAAGUCAUUAUCAAUCCCAUAAACACAUAUUUAGAUAUUAUCGUGCCUUGAGAUUUGGUUGAAUACAUAAAGAAAAAAAAGUUAAAACAUCUAAGUUAGAAGAAGGACUAGAUACUUGGAUCAUGUCAUUAUACAUUUAUAGUUUAUAUUUCAUCACAUAGUUUCACAAAAAUAUCAAAAUAGUCAUUUUUAUAAUUUCUUAACUUACAACAAAAACUUAAUCUUGCAUUUCUAACUUCAUGUAGAUAUGACCUUGAGAUUUCUAAAUAUUAUACUGUAUUAAUAUGUUACUACGAUUGGGAGUUGCCUCCAAUAGUUAAAUAGAAUGAUUUUAACUCUUUCUACCGAAACGCCACUUGCGAAAUAAAAAAGUGACUAGUUUUUCAUUUCACAACUGCGUUGUUUUGGUGGAAGAAAGGGUAAAAUUGUCUAAUUAACCAUGUAAUAGAUAUUAUUUAGAAGUCACCGCCUUCAGCGAUAUUAUUAUGCGUUAAACAACUGGAUUGAUAUAAAAAUCUUAUUUUACCGCCAAAUUAAAAUUUCCCCUAUAAUCGUGGUCUAGACUCUCUAUCAAUAAAUUCCCCCGCGGUCUUCUUGUUGACUUGACGAAAGCAAGUGCCCUUUAAUUAUGUUCCCCGCUGUUUUCGUUUUGACUUGACUCAAAAUGCAACUGCUAUUAUGUAAUUUAUUUGUUUGUAUUCUCUUUGUAUCAAAACCACUCAUCAGUAAACAGCUGAUUCCAUCUCUCUCCAAUACCAAAAAUCUCACUUCCCUCACUGCUUCAUCUCUGGUUCUCUCGCCUCUGUUUCUUCAUGGCUACUCUAAUCGAAGCCCAACAGGCCUCCAGCUCCAGCUCCGAAUUCAAAUUCAACUCGACAUUCCUGAGCUUUUUCGAGGCUUAGCAAGACCUAAAAAAAUUCACCGAUCACUCUAAAACCGACGCCUGAAUCGUGCCGGAAAUUCCGACCCUCCGAGACGAUCGACGAGAUCAGGAGUCAAGAACAUCAAUUCCCGAGUUAACAGAGAGCGAUCAAGUACUUCCAAGGAUGUCGGUUAUCGUUGUCUCGGAAGAUACGCAUCUUCAAAUGCUGCCUCUUCGAGGCCAGACGAUUUCUGGAGCAUUGUAGAGUCGGAUCACUUUAUUUUGCCGGUGUUUUACGAUGUGGAAUCCUGGGAGAGUGAGUAUCAGGCGAGAUAUCUGGAGAAGAAGGAUUCGUCCGGAGAAGACGAUAGGACGGAGUGCGGCGCUCAACGAGGUUGGCGAGUAUGGCUGGGAUGGUUUGCAAAAUCAAGCGGAUGGGUAAUUUCCUCCAAAUCCUAAUUUUUAUUUUUUGCAACUCUUCUCUUAUCCAAGAAUUGAUGUUUGGUUCAACAGUUUGGAAUUGAUUUUGCGUUUUUUUAUAGCGAAAAUUACAUUACAAAAACUUUCUAGGUUUGACGGGGAAGAAAUUAAACAUUAUAAUUUUAAUUUAGUAACAAUUUAAAUUUUUCGUUAGUUUCCAUCCAGCUAAGAAACGAAACUAACUAGUCUGUCCACAAUGUCAUAACCACUUGUAUAGGUUUUAUUUUUAAGUAACACCUAUUGACCAUUCUCAUAUCAAAAUGACAUAGAAUUACCAUAAAAAUUUGAUCUGUUUAAUACAAAUAAAACACCUAAACUCUUUAAUUUGUAUUGUUAAUUGGUUAGAUUAGGACUUUGAAAAGAGAUAAUUUUAUACGAAGUCGUUUCCAUGCAUUUUGAAUGGAAAUCAAUCGAUUCUGUUUGCCUUAAAUGGAGAUUAACGAAUGGUUUAAAUUAUUACUGAAUUAAAACUUCGUAGUUUAAUUUGUUUACAAUUAAAAUUGUAGAGUUUAAUUUGUUCCACGAUCAAAUUUUUUUUUUUCUUUUUUCUUUUUUAUAUUAUUGAUAUUUUAUCAUAAUUGAUUAUUAAUAAUUUGAAUAGUCUUUUUAAUAUUUUUUAAAAAAUUCCUACAAAACAAAUUUCAAAACCUAUAAAACCAAACAAAUUUUCUGCAUAAAAAUUUGCAAAACUGAUUUAAAAACUAAACCAAACUGAUUUUGUUGAAAAGUUAUAAAAUUACCCUUCUAUUUUACCAUUAGUAUAUACUUUUCAACACAAUACAAAGAUUUCUUUGUAAUUUUAUAAAAAUAAAGACAAGAAAAAAUAUUUUUGGAGAAAAUGGAAGUAUGAAAAUCACCCCUUAUUUUAUUGCUAUUAGUGCAUUCAUAUUGUUUGAAUUUGGGUUUUCUCCAUAUAUAGGAACAAGUUAGACCAUCUCCCAUUUUUACACUUUUUUUAGUCGAAUUAGAGAGAAAAUUUGAUAAAAAGCUUGAUCUGAUACUAAGAACUACAAUCUUUACUCUUUUAUUUCAUAGAAUCUUCUACCAAAAUUUCCAACUAUUCCAAAAACGAGACUUGAUGGGUAAAAAAACCCUCUAAUCCUCAACCCUUUCAAAGGUUUUCAUCUUAUGAGUAAAGUAGAGUUGGCCGAAGGUUUGUUGAUCUUGAUUUGAUGAAAAUUUUUGUUUUCCUCUUCAUUUGAUUUUAAAUUUGGUGAAACCGUGAAAGUCUAAGAGCUUGUUUUUGUACCCCUUUUCAUCAAAUUUUGAAUUAUGACGAUGAUUUGAUUGAAGGGUUGGAGAUGCUCUCAGUUUCAAUCAAGGGGUGGACAAUUACUUUAUAUCCCUUGGCGAUCGUAUGGCUUAUACUGAGUAAUUACCUAUAUAUAAUUACUAAUAAUUGUUUAUGCUCGCGGGUAUGAUACUUUUGUGGACAAUCUUAUAUGCCAAAUUCAAAUAAAAACAAACUUAAAAUUAAAUUAAUCAAAAAAAAUUACAAUAAAUUAACACAAUUACAGACUCUUCUCGAAGAAAACAAUUCAAAUUGUGACUGAGCACUGUAUUCAAUACAGUGCCUUAAGACAGAUUAAUCCUCUGCACGGGUGUGCAACGGAUAUAUAGACUCUGUCUCCCAGGAUACAACAGUCGAAAUCUUACUAAUGCAGCAUAAUAAUCAGUAGCCUGGCGAACCAACAACAGUGAUGUACUCUCUUGAUGGUAUGCAAAAAAAUAAAGAAAGGAAGAGCGGGGAAUAGAUGAAAUUGCUUAGAUUUACGUAUACCAAACUGGCUAGGAGGGAUGUGUAUAUAACCUACCGCCUGGAAAAUUCGUGACUUUAAGAAAGAGGAAAUUUUUCAAAGGAGGCAAUUUUUUGGGGAUCUGUUCGUUAAAAUUCAAACGUACAGGGACUUAACAAAAAGACGCAAUAGUUCGGGAUUAAACCGAAAGGACACAACUAUUUGGGACUAAAUCCGAAAAGACGCAACUAUUUGGGAUUAAAUCCGAAAGGACGCAACCAUUCGGGGACCAAAAUAUAAAUACUGAAAAUUAUUAUUUAAUAAAUAAAUUUUUCAGUAAAAAUUUAUAUUAGUCCGACCCAAACCCACACCCCGCACCCGCACCAAGCCUAAGGCCACGGCCUAGUCCGGGCGGGCGGCGCGCGUGGUUGUUUUGGCCAAGUCAUAGAGUUCAGAGUCGAGCCCAAGCCUAUCUAUAACUACCUUACCUUCAAAACUUGGGUACCCCUGGGCCCAACCAAGGAGUGAAAUUACUCCUUAUAAACCAAUUUACUUUCUCUCUAUUAACCAAUUAGGACUAUUUUGGAGUCACCCAAUUUUCAAUUCAUUUGUAAGUAGUUUGAAUAACCUAAUUACACAUUCUUAAUCCUCAAAUGUUAGGUAUCUAAAACCACUUAAAACCAUCUAAAAAGUAUAUGGGUCUGCUUUAAUUCAGACAAAGUUGGGCAAAAUUAUUGAGUUAAAACAAUUUUUUCCUACAAUCCCCCACAUGAAUGAAAAUGGACGGAAUAUGCCAAAACAUGUUGGAAACAAAAAAGAGUACAUAUAGAAAAUACAUGCACAGAGAAAGGUAGGUUUGGCUUGGCAUCUUUCUCUGGUGAAAAGUCUAUCGGAUUUAUGGCUAAUCGUGGAUAUGAUGUCUGAAACUGUUCAACUGUUUAUGUAAACCAACAAUAAAUUUCACACAAAAAUAUUUCAAACACCGCUUGGUUCUCAUGGUGUGUUCCUUUUAGCUCUGAACAACGCCUGAGUUUCAUGAGUGCCUCUAGGAAGUUAGCCGGAUUAAUUUCAAAAGAACCGGCCCCAGUUCACAUCAUAUAGAUGAUUUUAUUAAGAGCAUCCUGCUAUACCCCAAUUGAAAAUCAAGGAUAAGAAAUCAUUAAAGCCAAAGUUUAACCUGGGUCUCGCUACAACCAUCACUACUCAUCAGAAGAAUAGGUAGGAGAUAAUCUCCCAGUGAUUCCGACUAAGUCCCCCAACAAUUCGAUUGUCCCUUUGAACCUCAAAAUCUUGGGAUCCCAAAGUCAAUUAGGUUGGGUUGCCAUUGGGGAAACUUGGAACUUUUAAAAAAUAGGCUUUAGUCCCAUUCCCUCAAUGAAUGAUGCAUUACUCAUAGUCAAAACUUUUAGUUAACGGCAUCCGCUAAUAUGAUCCUUUGAUUGAUAUUAAUCAGAUGGAUAUUAUUUCACUUGAGGAGCAAAAUUUAACAGUAUUAUAUCUUCGACGGAUAUGUCGAGAUUAACGUUAUACAUAUUAUUCAGUGCUCGAGAGCUAUGGCUGAUUGGGACUAUCACAAUGUAUGAAAAUAGCCGGCACAGGUUUAGGCCACAUUGGAAUAUAUUCUAAGUUUUGUCGAGCCAUUCUGCUCUCCGUUUUAUCCAUGCUAUGAAUUCAGAUUCCAUAGUAGACCUAGCUAUACAAGUUGACCGUGGACGAUUCAAGAAAACUGCUGCUCACCUAAGUGAACAACAUAACCACUAGUAAAUUGGAAUCCUUGUAUCCGGAAAUUCAGUUUGCAUCACUAUAUUCUUUAAGUACUGCAGGGAUAUUUAGUGUAGUUGGCAAAACUAUAAGUUGUGAUAGCUAAAAAUAUAUAAGAACCCUAAACUAUGGCCCUUACAAUGAAUAUUCGUAGAUUUGCUUGUGACCUACUCAACUUACUCACAGCAUAUGCAAUAUCUGGUCGAGUACAGUUCAUGAAGUACAGUAAGCUAAUUAAUAUUCGAGCAUAAUCAUUGAGACAUACUUCAACAACAUUCUUGGCCUAAAUGGAAAAUUCAUAUCCCAAAGAGUUUUUGAAUAUGUUCAUCAUCUUUACCUCUAAAUUUUUCAAGAAUUUUCUCAAUUAUAAUGGGGCUUGAGAAAGUUAUAUCCUUCAAAGUUUUAGUAAACUUUAUACAAAGUAUAACAUCAGUUAACACUAAUAUCUUUCAUGGGUCAAACUGUUUGUUAACAUUUUCUUAGUAGCUUUAAUCAUCUAGAUAUCACUACAAUGAUAGCAUGUAUCAACAUAAAGACAACGAUGGACAUAUUCUUUAUUUGUAUUCUGAACAUAAACAACAUUUUAGGGAUGCAACUUUUGCCCAACACCCCCACACUCUUAAGCAUUGUAGGAAUGUUUUAUACCUUUUAACAUUUCAUAAGGGUUUUAUCAAUUUUCUUACGGGUAUUCUAUUAAGAAUAUAAUUAGCAUGAUAAAAAUAGCUUCCCCCCACAAUUCUGAGAUAACACCCAGAACUAAUAAAUAGCAUUUCAUCAUAUCCUUUAAGUUCUAUUCUUCCGACACUAAGCAACUCCAUGACUGGGGAGCAAUAGGUGCAUUGUUUGUGUAUAAUACCAUGUUGCGCACAAAACUCAUAAAUGUGUCUCAUAUUCACACCUCUAUCACUUCGUAGCACCUUAACUUUCUUGCUAAGUUGAUUUUCGACGUCUUGUAAAUGUAUGAAAGCAUCCAAAAUUCAUCUUUCUUCUCAACAUACACAACAAAAUCUAGAAUAUCAUAAAUAAAUGUAUAAUGUACUUUUUUCCCCUCUAGAUUGUAUAGAUUUUUAAAAUACAAAAAUCACUAGAAACUAAUUCAAGAGGUCAGUACUCCUUUCAAUAGUUGAAAAUGAUUUUCUAGUCAUUUUUGCUCUACACAAAUUUCCCAUUUAUGAUUCAAGUUUAUAUAAACUUAGGUAGACAUUCCAAUUAUUAAGUCUUCGCAAAAGAAUGCUAAUUAUAUGUCCUAAUCUAACAGCCCAUAAAUGAGGGAAGACUCAAGCAAGUAGAAAAAUAACAUCCUUAUUUCAUUCAAUUUGGAACAAUAUGUCAUUAAUUCAAUUUAAAAAGCCAAUCACUCAUGUAUCCCUUUCAUACAUACCAUUGCCCACUCUUGUAAGUACAAAAUUUGUCAGAUUUCAACCCUAGCGAAAGCCAUUUUUGCUCAACAAUGAGCCAGAAACUAGUUCUUCGGAUGUCUGAAAACAUGCAUCCACUUGUUGAGAGGAGUUCCUUUCCAGAUGUCAUUUUUAGAAUCACUUUGCUUGGCCUACCACGUUAGAAGUUGACAGAGUUCCCAGUAAAGUUGUUCACCAUCAUUCACCUUUGCGUAAGAUGAAAACAUCUUCUUUAUCGAAGCAUAUUGUGGCGAGUAGCUCCAAUCCACCAAACAUUCUUAAAAUUUUGUAUACCAAAUUUGCUAUGACACAAAACGCCAGAGAUUCAUGCUGGGGAUGCAAGCACACAGAUUCUAACAUCUGUUUCAGUACUGUGCAUGGGCACACAUUUUGCUCGAACUUCCAUAAUCCUUGGGCUUUGCUACGACAUUCAUUGGCUCUAUGUCCGAUCUUGUCACAUUUGUAGCCCUUUCUCUUGAAACUUUCUUGUUGAACCUUGAGAUGUACCGUUACAAGAAGCUUUAGUUCUUGUUCUUAGGCCCUUGUUCCACAACAUGGCCUUCGACUCCAUUGAAAUCUUUCUGUCUUUUCUCAGAAUUUGGUUGUAUUCUUCUAUCCUCAAUCACAAUCAGUUCCUACAAUUUCAUCUCCUUGCGUUUAUGCUUUAAAAUUAUUUUGAAUUCCCUCCAAUUAGGCAGUAAUUCUCAUUAUUGCCAGCAACUUGAAUGAUCACUAAGUGACAUCCUUCACGCAUGUAUAUCAUGUAUCACAACUUGGAGUCUUUAACUGACUGAUCAAGUACGAGAAUCCAACAUCUUCUAACCAAAAAUUGCCAACAAUGAAUUUCUUCAUUCCAGUAUCUUUCUGGUUUUAUACUUUUUAUCAAGAGAUUCCCAUAUUCGUUCGCUAUCUUGAUUAGGCUAUAUACAUUGUAACGUAUGUCCAAUCCAUGAGGAAUAAUUGCGGCACAAAAAAAUCUGAAUGCUUCCAGUAUCAACAGCCACAACCAUUUGCACAUCCGACUCAUCUUCUUUAUAGCGUUGGAGUUGUUUCAUGGAGGAAAACCUUGCCAAAAUAAGAUAUAAGAUAAAAUAAACAUCUUUUGCUGCUAUCUUUUAAAAUUAGUUCCAUUGAACUUUUCUGGUUUCUCUCCAUGAUUUACCGGAACCGAUACAGGAAUCGGUGGCAUGAUUGUAAUGGGAUUACUUCCAGAACCUCCAUCAUAUCCGGGGUUUCCAUAACCAGUGUCAUCAGAAACACUUGCCAUCGAUUCUGAUAAAACAGAAUUCAACCAAAGAAUUAAAAAAAAAAUCACAGUAGAAGAAAGUAGAAGUGAUAAUCUAUCUGUCUUAAGAUUGUUGGAAAAUCUUCUAUGCAAUUCAAAUAAACAUACUGAAAUUAAAUUAACAGAAAGUUCAAUAAUUAACACCAUUAACAGAACUUCUUCUUCGAAGAACAAGAAUUCAAAUUUGUGCUGAGGCAUAUAUUCAAUACAGGGUCCCUUAAGGAAAGAUAUCCUCCGCACGGGUUGCUAACGGAUGUUAAUAGACUCUGUCUCCCGGAUACAACAGUCUCGACAUCUUACUGAGCAGCACAAACAAUUCGUAAGCCUGGCGACACCAACAACAAUGAUGUACUCUCUUUUACGGUAUGCAAACAUGAAGGAAAGGGAGAGCGGAGGAAUAGAUGAAUUGCUUAGAUUUACGAGUAUACCAACAUGGCCUGAGGGAGAGGAUGUUAUAUAGGAAAAUUCGUGAACUUUUAGAAAGGAGGAAUUUUUCUAAAGAAGGAAUUUUUCCGGGGGAUCUGUUGUUUAAAAUUCAAAUGUACAGGGACAAAAACGAAAAGACGCAAUAGUUCUGGAUUAAACCUAAAGGACGCAACUAUGUCGGAUAAAUCCGAAAAAGACGGCAAAAAUAUUCGAGGGACCAAAAUAUAAUUACUGGAAAUUAUAAUUAAAUAAAUAAUUUUUUCAGUAAAAAUUUAUAUUAGUCCGACCCAACUACAAACCGCACAAGCACACAGCCCCGGCGGGCGGCAGCGCGUGGUGUGGUAUUUUUGGUCCAGUCAAUAAAGUUCAUAGCUGGACCCAAGUCCAUCCAUAACUCUCCUCUUCAAAAACUUGCGGUUACCCCUUGGGGCCCAACCAAGGAGUGAAAUUUACCUCCGUAUAAACCACGUUACUUUCUCUCUCCUUACCAAUGUGAGACUAAAACAAACUUUUUUACAUAAGCCAUAUUAUGUAGACACUUUGGAGUCAAUUUUCAAUUCAUUGUAAGUAGUUUGAACAACUAAUUUACCACAUCCUUAAUCCCCACAUGGAAGUGUAUUAAAGACACUUUAAAACCCAUCUAAAAGUAUAUGAGUCCCACUUUAAUAAGGCCUCCCAAAGUUGGGCAAAAUUAUGGGUUAAAACACAUUUUUUCCUACACUUUCUCCCCAAAAAAUCACUUCUUAGGGAUAAUCAUUAGAGUUUUACAACCUAAAAAAUAGAGAGAUACAUUACUACAAAAUGAAGAACAAAUUAAAAAGUAUAAUGCUUUUGAAAGUGUUGCUAAUUUGGGAGAAAUGAAGGUGAAAGAAAUUGAUGUUUUAAUUUUUUUUUGAUAUGGUUCCCACUAAAAAAAUGAUCCAAUGGAUAAAAAAUAUGUCCACCUUUAGAGGUUUUUUUGCCAUUGAAUAACAAUCUAUAUGGGCCCCACACAUUUGAGAAGAAGGAAGUGAUAUUUUUUUUUUGAGAAAAAAAUAGUCUCAGGUGAAAUCUUAGCUAUUGAAUUAAUUCAAAUGGAUUCCAAACCGUGAUAUAAGUAUAAGAACAAAGUUUUUGAAUCUUUCAAACUAUCUUCCAUAUCUUAUGGUCGGAAUUCAUUGAGUAAUCCCAAGGAUGAGAUUCACUUGAGACUAUGUUUUUUCUUACAAAAAAUAUCACUUUCUUCUGCUCAAAAUAGUGGGGGCCCACAAGAUUGUAAUUCAAUAGCCAAAAAACCAUUAAAACAGGACAUAAUUUACCUAUUGGAUCAUUUUUUUAGUUGGACCACACCAAAAAAAUACUAAAACACCUCUUUUUUUUUCUCUCAUUACCCAAAGACUAUUAACGCUUUUUAAAAAUCAUAUACUUUCUAUUUUUCUCUCUUUUAUAGUAAUGUAUUUCCUUCAUAAUGCAUGCAUUGUAAUAUCUUAAGCUGAGUUAUAUCUAUCGUUUUUUUUUAUGUUGUAAAACUUAAUAGUACAAACCAAAAAAGUAAUUUUUUUUUUUUUGACGUAGUGCCUGGGAGCACGGGAAAUUACUAGUUAUAGAUAUGUUACAAACUAUUUGGCCAGAGCAAGUUAUGGUUUUGAGUUUCAAUGAUCGUAGCAAUGGUAAUACUCUUCCCCUCACUCUCCCUUGGACUACAUAAGGCUUAAAACCUGAUAAUUACAUAUAUUUGUGGGACGGGGAAAUACAUGUAGCCGGGAUAGAUAGAGCAAAAUACUGGGAUAGAAGAUAGGUGUUCUAAGUUGUCAAAAUUGUAAACUACGUUAUAUGCAUCACUAAUAAUUCAUAUGGCCGUUCCUAGUUAAACCAAAUAAGUUAAAAUCACAUGAUUUUGAUGGUUCAGGAUGAAAUGGAAAAAAAUGGAAGUAGUAUAGGAGAUAAAACUGUGUGUAAUUGAGCUUAUACUUUUUUACAAAGUGGUUAAGGACUAAUUUUCUUCUUUCCUAUUCAUAUAUUAACAUAAAGAAAUUGUUAAAGAAAUAUUUUUAAAGAACUUGACUUGAUGAUUUAGAAUGCAGAAGUAUACUUGAAUUCUAAUUAAUCACUUAUCAUCUACAGCAUUCUUUCUUGAGAAUCGUACAUCUUCUUUUUCAUGCCACUAUUGCUAAAUGAGUUUCGAUUACAAAGUUUCUUUUUUUUUUUUUAUGUACUGAAAAUCAUAUUUGUCUUGAAGUAAACGGGAAUUGUGGUGAAGAAGUUCAUUUCGCAUGAUUUCAAAUUGGGGUUAAGAACCAAUGAUUCAAUAGCGUAUUACGUGAACUGUUUUUUCCCUUCUUUUUAUUUUUGUGAAAAUGACACUCUUUUUCAAAGUAAAUUUAUAAAGUGGAUGAUAAGUUUUUUAGGCACUUGGCCCACCUCCCUCUUUAAACCAUGCUACAUCACUACGAAAUCAGAACAAAAACCUGGCCAUGACAACAAACCCCUUGGGAAGCCCUUAAAAUUCCUUGCAUUGCCAUGUAACCACAAUCUUCCAAUGGCAUUUGAAAACUUAUACAACCCCUCAUUCGGAGCAACACCUAGGACCAUACUUGGUCAAAGCAACCAUGGUCCUACUAGCUAGGUUUCAUAACUGGGGUUCCGAGUACUAAGUGGGCGGGUCCGCGGGUCUUGAUGUCAGAUUCUUUGUAAACCUAAAUUUUAGUAUACUUGUAUUUUUGUCUCAAAUUAAUUAUGAGUACAGUACACAUUCUGAAUUAUUCCAGAUAAUAAAUCUUGAAUUAUUUAAAAAUGUACUUGAAAUCAAAUGAGAUUAUAAAAAAAUAUGAAAAAUAUUAAAAGUGUUAACCUCACAUCGCUUAUUUAAGCCACCCAAAAUUAUUAUAUAAGAAGUGAACCUUUAUCUUUUGAUCACCCAUUCAAAUAAUGGGUCAACAAAGAUAAGUGAUAGUUUUUUUCUUCUUUUAUAGAUGGGAAAAGAUAAGUAAAGUUGAGCAAAGAAAGUUGAUCUCAUCCAGCCACCUUACUCGAAGUUGCUUCAAAAGUCAAGGAUACAUAAGUAAAUUACUUGAAUAAUUAGAUUUGCAUAUAUUUUUCACUGCCGGAAUAGAUAAAACAUGUAAGAGGAUAAUUCCCCCUAUGGA